AGUCACGCUGUAAACGAUGUCGAUCUGGAGUUUGUUGCCUAGAGUGACGGGCUCCGAAGCUAACGCGAUAAAUCGACCGCUGGGGAGUACGGCCGCAAGGUUAAAACUCAAAUGAAUUGACGGGGGCCCGCACAAGCGGUGGAGCAUGUGGUUUAAUUCGAUGCAACGCGAAGAACCUUACCUGGUCUUGACAUCCAUAGAAUUCUGCAGAGAUGUGGGAGUGCCUUCGGGAACUAUGAGACAGGUGCUGCAUGGCUGUCGUCAGCUCGUGUUGUGAAAUGUUGGGUUAAGUCCCGCAACGAGCGCAACCCUUUUCUUUGUUGCCAGCGAUUUGGUCGGGAACUCAAAGGAGACUGCCGUUGAUAAAGCGGAGGAAGGUGGGGACGACGUCAAGUCAUCAUGGCCCUUACGACCAGGGCUACACACGUGCUACAAUGGCGUAUACAAAGGGAAGCGAAGGUGCGAGCUGGAGCGGAUCUCAUAAAGUACGUCUAAGUCCGGAUUGGAGUCUGCAACUCGACUCCAUGAAGUCGGAAUCGCUAGUAAUCGUAGAUCAGAAUGCUACGGUGAAUACGUUCCCGGGCCUUGUACACACCGCCCGUCACACCAUGGGAGUGGGUUGCACCAGAAGUAGAUAGCUUAACCGCGAGGGGGGCGUUUACCACGGUGUGAUUCAUGACUGGGGUGAAGUCGUAACAAGGUAACCA
rnacentral:rRNA from 1 species